UCUCUGCCCCAGUUUAUUCAUCUUGGGUUGGUCCAGAAGCCGGGUUUAUACACUCAAUAUGCAAGAGCUACAGACAAAAAGUCUUCAGGGCCCACCCCUCACCCCCACUCUCUGGAUCUUUCAUCCAUCCACCUGUCAGGGAUGAAACUCUUUAGAGAUAGGAAGAGCCCCCCACUUUGCCGAUAGGGAGACGGAGGGCCAGAGGCUGCAUCAGUGACUUCCAUGCCACUGUUCACCCACCAGUGUCCCCUCUUCAUACCACUGCUCACCCACCAGGAUCUUGCAUUCUCUUGGCUCCCAAGAACAAAGCAGAGAGCUAAGCUACCUUACUCAUUGGUUCUCUCCAAGACUCACCCACUCUGUAACUCACGGAGCCUGCCAAUCCCUGUUUGAAGGGCCAUGCAGUGAAAGAAGGGGUUAAAAUUCAGCAUCCUAAGCAUUUCCAGAGGCUUAGGCUGACACCGUCCCCUUCACAUCCCAGAAAGCCAACCUCUGGCUCCUCCUGACAGUCCGACUUCAGAGAAAUGAACCAAACCAAUUCAACAUCCAAUGCUGCUAAAGCCAGAGAGGCACAGCAAGGUAGAGGCAGAGACAGGGAAGCGAUAUUUUCCUCAUCGGCCUUGGAACAUCUUGUCUGUUACUUGCAAGCUUAUAAACAUACAUUGCUUUUCAUCAGAAGCUUAAAUAAACAGGGUUUGCAACAGCUCCUUUUCCAAUGGAGAGAUGGUUUGUUUGGGAACUGGUAUUUUAGAAUUCCCAUUCUCCUAUUCUUCACAGGGUUCCACUGUUAUCAUCUUUCCUGUCCCCAUCUCCCAUGUGCCCAAAGGCAGAGUUCAAGAGGGACAGUCCCCUAUGUCCUCUGUCCCCAUCCCCACCAUCAUCUUCAUCACUACUCCUGGUUCUCCUUCCUGAUACCAGUUCUCCACACACUGCCAAAAUUGCAGCCAAAAUUCCAUGGCAGGCCAGAGCAGCCACUAAACCUCCUACAAGUAAAGCCAACAUCAGGGACAAUAGCCUCAGCUGAGCAAGUCUGGGUUAAGUGAGGGAAAGGGAAAGGAGAGGUGGCCUGGGAAAUCCCAGGAGAAUGGGUCAGCCACAACCUUCAGAUAAAUGACAGCAUGCUAGCCCUCUGUCUCCAGGCAACAGUGGGACCCAGUGGAGAAGAAAGGCUGGGGUAGGCCAUGAGGAACACAAGGUGUGGGUGGACACCCACAGUGCAGCUGGAUAUAUAUUUGCACACACCUGCUCAUGAGUCUGCCUACAAACACACAUGCUCCUAACAUACACCUCCCAUGCCUGUGGCCAAACAUGUGCACCCCUGCACACACAAGGGCUUCCUCACAUACACCUAAUACAAGCCUGCACACUCAAACUCACUCAUAGACACACACAUCUUCUGCCUAUACAUCCUCACUCAUGUGCAUAUACACACACUGCUGGGUACCUGUCUACACAUGCACAUACAGAGUUCCUCAUUCUUACAUACUACACACACACACACAUAUGUACACAC
rnacentral:lncRNA from 1 species